rnacentral:rRNA from 1 species
UUCCGGUUGAUCCUGCCAGAGGCUACCGCUAUCGGAGUCCGAUUUAGCCAUGCUAGUCCAUCGGGGUCUUUGACCCCGAGGCAGAUAGCUGAGUAACACGUGGCUAACCUGCCCUGUGGACGGGAAUAACCUCGCUAACGUGAGGCUAAUGCCCGAUAGCAGAUGAUUGCUGGAAAGCGUCGUCUGUGAAAUGUUCCGACGCCACAGGAUGGAGCCGCGGCUGAUUAGGUCGUUGGUGAGGUAACGGCUCACCAAGCCAGUAAUCAGUAGCAGCCGUGAGAGCGGGAGCUGCCAGUCGGCUUCUGAGACAAGAAGCCGGGCCCUACGGGGCGCAGCAGGCACGAAACCUUCACAAUGCACGCGAGUGCGAUGGGGGGACUCCGAGUGCAAUCUUCCCACAAGGAAGGUUGCUUUUCUGCACUGUAAGGAGGUGCCGGAACAAGGGGUGGGCAACACUGCUGCCAGCCGCCGCGGUAAUAGCAGGACCCCAAGUGGUAGUCGUUGUUAUUGGGCUUAAAGUGUUCGUAGCCUGCCGUGUAAGUCCGCUGUGAAAUCCACGCGCUCAACGUGUGGGCGUGCAGCGGAUACUGCAUGGCUAGGGACCGGACGGCGUCGAGGCUAUUCCUUGGGUAGAAGUGAAAUCCUAAAAUCCAAGGAGGAGCACCUGUGGCGAAAGCGCUCGGCGAGUACGGAUCCGACGGUGAGGAACGAAAGCCAGGGGAGCAAAGCGGAUUAGAUACCCGCGUAGUCCUGGCCGUUAACAAUGACCGUUUGAUGUCGGCUAACCUCCGAGGUUAGCCGGUGCCGAAGUGAAAACGUUAAACGGACCGCCUGGGAAGUACGGGCCGCAAGGCUGAAACUUAAAAGAAAUUGGCGGGGGAGCAC